GGCGAACGCUGGCGGCGUGCCUAAUACAUGCAAGUCGAGCGCAGGAAACUGACGGAACUCUUCGGAGGGAAGGCAGUGGAAUGAGCGGCGGACGGGUGAGUAACACGUAAGGAACCUGCCUCAAGGAUUGGGAUAACUCCGAGAAAUCGGAGCUAAUACCGGAUAGUUCAACGGACCGCAUGGUCCGCUGAUGAAAGGCGCUCCGGCGUCACCUUGAGAUGGCCUUGCGGUGCAUUAGCUAGUUGGUGGGGUAACGGCCCACCAAGGCGACGGUGCAUAGCCGACCUGAGAGGGUGAGCGGCCACACUGGGACUGAGACACGGCCCAGACUCCUACGGGAGGCAGCAGUAGGGAAUCUUCCACAAUGGACGAAAGUCUGAUGGAGCAACGCCGCGUGAGUGAUGAAGGUUUUCGGAUCGUAAAACUCUGUUGUAAGGGAAGAACACGUACGAGAGGAAAUGCUCGUACCUUGACGGUACCUUACGAGAAAGCCACGGCUAACUACGUGCCAGCCGCCGCCGUAAUAC
rnacentral:rRNA from 1 species